rnacentral:misc_RNA from 1 species
AACCUAGCACACCUGCGGUGUGUACCUGCGGAGGGAUCAUUAUUGAUUUUUAACAGGAUGUGCUGGCUCUUCUGGAGCAUGUGCACUCCUAACAAAAACCAAUAUCCACCUGUGCACCUUUAGUAGGCAGGAAAAAGACUUUUUUUCUUGUCUAUGUUUUCUAUCACAAACACUUGAUCUAUUCGAAUGCUUAUGCAACAAAUAAUAUUUGUUAAACAACUUUCAACAAUGGAUCUCAGA